rnacentral:lncRNA from 1 species
UCGUGCCCGGCUCCAAGAUGGUUGUCAAUGGAGGCUCUCCGGAGACAGCCUAGCGGGUCAGUCCGAACACUGCGGCCCGGUAGGCUGGGCGAUGCCCCGCCCCAGCCAGCCCGCCGCUCGCAUUGGCGCUGCCGAGGCCCAGGCCUGCUCUCAUUGGCUAGAGAGGUGUCGCUCCCGCUCUCUCCGCUCCAGGGCCCGGGGAACUAUUUUCCAUUCGGCGGAGGGGGGCCGGGGAGGGGGCUCCGCUGAAUCGCUCCGUCCGCGCCGAGCGGCAGGCGGCGGGCCCGGGCGGGGCGGCGGAGGAUGCUGCGGCCGUUGGGGCCGCCGGGACGGCGCUGAGGCGUCGCUGUCCCCGCCGCCGCGCAGCGUAAUCAUGUCCACAACUCGGAGAACGAAUCUAGCAAGCUCAUGUUGAGGUAUAAUCUCAAGACAAGAUACAGUGACUCAUAUGCUUUUCUGGGUAAGAAGGGUAUCUAUAUCCUCUUGAGUUUGACAAAAACUAGUUAACCUCUUAAAUUUAACUUGUGAAAACUACAGUCUGUCAAGCCAGUAUGAUGGAGGUUUUGUGGGUGGGAGGGUUUGUUUGUUUUUUUAUAUUCUUGAAUCUUUCUGGGCAAGUGUAGAGAACUUUCCAGCUAUCUAACAGUCUAAAGACAUUCUAACCUAAUAGCGUAAUGGAAGAGCAGUAAUAAGCAAUCUUAGAAUAAAAGACACCACUAAAUAGUGUAUGACUGGUUAGAAAAGUAAUUCCAGUUCAUUGUCACAAAGAUAUGUACAGUUUCUAGCCUGAUUUCCCAAGGGAAUGGGGAUUAUAUACUCUCUUUUCGUUUUCCCUUCCCAAAAAUGUUCACCAUCUCUGUGACUAGGAAGAGAAAGAAGUGUACAACUUGAGAGAAAAGUGGGCAGAAGUGAACCUUAUAUACACUGUGUUGACAGGCUGGCAGCCAGACGUCAUGCGCUGCCUCCUGGUCAGUGUGGAUAUUCUGAGACACCGCAGACAGCUAUGGUUAUUGCCGUGGCACGAUACCUGGGUGUAUGGUUUCUACAAAUCUGUACGUGAGCUGACUUCGUUAGUUCUGCUGCUCUUAGAACUCCCCCGGUCCCUCAGCUUGGUCCAGACAACUCCAGGAAAAACAGAUUUAGGAUUUAUUUUUUUUGUUCAGGAAGACAUCGCUUGCUCAUGCGAUUACACAAUUUCACUUUCACGUAUGCACUGAACUCUAUAGCAUCUUCUGUGUAUAAGAUUUCUCUGCAAGUGUCUCCCUCCUUAAUAACUACUAGGGUGUUACUCAGAUUGUCAGUAGCACUGUGUUCCAGGUAGCUUGUACCGGUAGUCUCCAGAGAAUGUUAAGGCCUGAUUUCCCCACUUAUCCCCCCACCUCCCUGCAUCCACACUAAAUUCUUAAGGUUUAAUUUUAUGGGAUUGGAUGUAGAUACCUAGCUUGUUAGGUUUGCUGAAGUAUCUGAGGAGGGGGUGGGGGAGAAAGCCCUUUUUGCUUUCUGUUCCUGUAACAGGUGUUUCAAUUCACUGUCCUUUCAUGAUUUUCGUGUAAGCUGUACCUCUGACUCUCCCUGGUCUCAGUGGAUUCUGCUUAUAAAGUCGUGGGUUUACAGCUGUCCUUCUAUCUUAAGGGAUUUCUAGUUUGGAUUGCUAGAGUAUUGCUUACUGGUUUAUCAUCCACAUUAUUUCAUGAGACUCGGUGCGUGCAGUAACUGCUGCUGAUUCCUUCCUAGCUGUGAACAGAGAACAACUGCAGCAACAGGACUGUUGCUUCAAAAUACGGUGUCCAAAGAGCAAAGCAGUUUCCAUUAAGAGUUACAUUAGAUAAAGAUGACAUGUUUUAGUGAUUUAAGUUUAGCACUUCUCUCGGAACUUAAUUAGACCUAAUUUAGCUUGGCAUUGCCUGACUUUUUUUUAGUACGGAAUUAGCCUGUUUCUGUCUGUCCUAGGGCAGUCCUGUGUUUUUGGCAGUCUUGUUCCAGUUAUCAAUUUUGGUUUAUAAAGUAGUCGCAGAAUACACACUGCUAAUAUUUUUAUCUUUUUACUGUAUCUUCAUGAUUCACUGUCAUUGAAUUUCUGCUGUGGAGCUGCUUUUCUUUUUAAGUGCUCUUACUAAAGAUAGAACAGCUCCUUGGGCUCUUUCAUUCUUUUAUAUCUGUAAUAAAACCAGACAGUUUGGGGUUUUUUUUUUGUUUCAUAUGUAUGGCUUUUAUUAAUAUAAUGGAGACUUUAUAAUGUUAAAAUUCUGCUGAUACCUUACAGCCUUUCCUUGUCUUUUAGUGAUUUAAGAAUGCUUUCCUCCUAAAUUUCUGGUUUUGUGCUAAUUUUUUUAAUCUUGUCAGUUAAAGCUUGGAAUUUAUCUGACCUGCAGCUAGAGCUUUUGCUUUUAAGUGAUGUAUCUGGACGUUUGCGGUGCACUUCUUGGAUUUCACUAACAGCUUUCAUAGUUUGGAGUGAUUUGAACAGUUCUUUUUCAGGAUCUGUUUUAUUGCUGCUUAUUGGAAGCUUAUCAGGGAGUCAUACCUUACGUAUGACUUACAAAGUCUUCCUAGAACGAAGAGUUUUAGAUGGCAUAUUUCCUGUCCAUCAGAUACAACUAUGCAGACCUACAUAUGUGCCUACAGAAAAAUGGGAAGGCCUGCUUGUAAUUUCCCAAACAUUUUCUUCAUGGUGAUUUUUCUAAAUACCGAAGUGGUGGUGUGAUGCAUGUCACUUCCACAUAACCGUACAAACGCUGGGGCACUUUUUCAAAUGUGGUGUGUUCAAUUAACAGUUGUCUUGUGUCCGUAAUUUAAUUGAUAACUGAAGGUGUGUCCUCAUUUUUUUAAACUAUAUGUCUAUUUUAACAUUUCUUUUCCUCUU